CUACGGAUAGCAUCUGCGAACGAUCGCAGA
rnacentral:sRNA from 1 species